GCCCCCGGCCCCGCCGCGGCAGCGCCCGCGGAGCGCGGGCGGAGGGGGGGAGCCGGCGGAGCGCGAAGUACUUAAAAUAACUGCUUCUAAUAGCCUUUAAUACAGACAUUUUGGGUGUAACUGGCAAGAUGCAAGAGAACAUCACCCAUAUGGGAGCAAGCUCAACAACUGAACAAAGUGUUCUACAUUGGUGGACUCAGAUGCAGCAAUUUUUCUACAUAACAGGAUUCUUUUUAGAGACGCAUUUUUCCCUAAAGCUUAUCUACUGCAGAUGGCAGUAAUGCAAGACAUCCUGGAUUGAAAUGUAUGAUUUUGAAUCUCAAGAGUGAAGUCAAUAGGACAGCACCAGGGGAAAACCAGCAGAAAAGCAAUAAUGUUGCCUAUUUGUUUUCAACGAGGAGUCAAGAGACAAUUACUGGACAGGCAAAGGAAAGCUGCAUGACUCCAGCUAUGUGGUGUCAAAGGGGAAGUACCUCUUUCACAUACCCCUCCAACUUAGCGCUUUUACAGGGGAAGAGUGGUGAGGUCCCACCUCUGGGAUUGGAAGAGGAAAGUGAACAGCAGUCCUCCAAAAACAGCAAUGAUCAAGGAAAGAACAAUGACCUGCAUUUAUUGCCGGGUAGUGUUCCCAGUUGAGUUAAUAAAGUUGUGGCCUAAUUAAACUGAGCACUUCACAUCUUGUUUUUCUUCUUGCAUGGCCGGGACAAUUAAGCAUCCUUUGAUGUAGAGUGCUCAGAGGAAAUCUCCCAAUUACUUUAUGAACAAUUUUUGUCAUAAAGCCUGAGAGAAUUUAUUGAAACCACCUACAGUAGAAUGAGGCCAGAGCCAAUCAACACUGGAUGACCAGACUUAGGAGUACGAGCUUUAAACCGCAGGCCACAAAGACCACAAACACCACACUACAGUGAGAAAUGCAAGCUGUCACAAGUGCUAGUUGGGUACAGCAACCUGAACAGAACUCUGUGGGAAAAGACUCAGUUUCAUUCCUUGAACGGAAGCUGUUGCUAAUUCCUGAUUUUCCGUUUAAGUAGAAGUUGUACUUUACACUGACACUAUUUCAGUUCCAAAAUAAAUGUAUUAUUAUGUGUAACUGCAGUAGGUGCUCGACAAUGUCUUCAUUCAAUAGCCUGGUUAAGCAUAUUUGUAACUGCUUUCUUCAAUCAAGUUGAAAAAGUUAUUUCGUUACUUCUUACCAAAAAUAAGUGAGGACAUUCCUAAUUCCUAGUAGUACUAUUUUGAAAUAACAAUUUCUUAGCUUAAAUUCAGUGUAAUGAACAUAGGAUGAUAAGGAUUUUCUGCACUUUCAAACCUCCUGCUAUCACAGGCAAGCAAACUGUGUACUCAGCUCUCUAAAAUGAGCAAUUUCUGUCUCACAACUAGUCAGACCAACUAGCAUAUCUGAAAAACUAAAUAAACAUAAAGAAUACUCUUAUAAAGCAGUAUGCAUAUAUAUCCAAGAAUAUGCAGACUUAAAUCUAAAGGCGUGUAUUUCUUAUUUCAAGUAUUAUUUCAUUGAUCAGCACAUUCAAAUAAUUUGAAUUCAGAAAAAUAUACUUUUUCUUUUGUAAAAAUAACUUCUGAAAUGCAAUGUUGAGAACGGUAACAGCUGUUAAAUAACGAAAUUAAAGAAAAAGGAAAAAAAUAGCAAUGAUAGUGCCUUUCAGUUUUAAGAAAAUUAUCAUAUGUAAGUUGCACGAGCAUUUAAAAAAUACUACAACACUACUGCUUCCAUUCAGUGUCGACAAAUAAUUUAAAUAUUAUUAAAAUUAAUAAAUAACUGUGACUGGAACUUCUAAAUUAUGCUUUCACUCUGGCUUAAGAAAAAAUGGAUUAUUUUCAACUCUUAUCUGUUAGUACUUAUUUUCUGCACAGGGAAAAAUGUGUUUUGUGAAAUUUGUUUCGAUUGUUGCAGUAACAAGUCUGAAAACUUUGAAAGUGAGUUUUUUCACAAUUAGAAUGUGUAUUAUUCACUUAAUAGACCCAGUUGGGUAGAAAAUGAAAACACAAAACAGCAUAAAAUCCCCUAUAAGGCCAUUCAUCAUCAGUAUAAAUGAGCUCUAAAAUGCACUAUAUACAAGUAGAAAGAAGCUCAAAUUAUUUUUGUCUUAAAGCAAAAUAAUGAGUUCUGAUCAGGAAAAGAAAAGAUACAGUAAUUCAGCAAUGCUAGAAUCUAUCCACUAAAAAACUCGGCUACUGCUGUUGAAAUAUUUUGAGACAUAUAUUCCAUUCAACUCCCCAAACAAAUAGCAGACUGUACUUCAAAUGCAUUGCAAGACUAUUAGGUAAUCUCUUUCUUUGUUUAGAUUCAGUAGGGUUCAGUGACAAACAUUCAUCUCUUUCUAUAAAAGUUCCUGUUCUCUUGCUUAGUUAAGAAUUGCUUUACUUCUUGUAGCAACUCACAAUUUACUUCACAAGGUAUUAGUAUCUCACAGGAAGCUUCAAAGAAAAUGCAAAAAUUAUCAUUUAACUAUUUUAAAAUUAUGAAUUAUUUGUUCCAUGCUUAGAUCAUACAGUAGAAAGCACAUUUACAUCUGUAGGUAGACUAAUAGAAUCAGACACAAAGCUUCUGAAAUAAACUAAUACCAGCUGCUCCCAUGCCUCAUUACUCUGCAGUAGCUGCUACCCUGAAAUAUUGCACACUGCAGAAUCACUGGCUUUCAAAAGCCACACAGACUUUUUAGAAGAUGUAGCAGUGCAAAACAGACACUUCCCUCAGACAGAAGAAAAAGAAAGUCCUAUACUUCAGGAUAUGUGUUCAAGCAUUUUCCAGUCUAACGUACACAUAUUUUUUACCACCAUCCAUUUUACUUAUUUGAACAGGUGAAAGCAAUUAGAGUGUAAAAUUAUUGCACUGUCCAGUGCUCCAAGUUCUACAAUUAUUUACAAAUUCUGAAACAAAUGAAAUAUCUUUCUUAUUAGUACCACACACUUUGUGCUUCCAAAACUUGUGUAAGUAGGGAUGAAUAUCACGACCACUUAGAUUACUAAGAGAAGAUACAUUAAUGACCAAAAGUAAGUUUUGCUCCAGCAACAGUGUAUCUAGAAAAAAAUCAUUCUCUAUGUAUACACGCUAUGCAAUAAUAAAAUUCUUAAAAAUAACUCAUUUUCAAAAGCUGUAUUAUACAUUAACCUUACUGUAGUCUGCAAAAAUUAGAUGGCAACAGCUAAAUCUCUCAGUAAAAGGCACUGUCUGAUCCUCAUCAUCUCAAAUGGUCAUUAAGAUCGUCUGAAGAGACUCUCCUCUGGAAACACAGAAGUAAUUUUAAUGCGAAAGUUUACACAGUUAAAAUUACACAAAUUUAAUUUCCAACAAGCCCAGAAGAAUUAAAUAUUCCAUGGCUCUCAGGACACAUCUUCAACGUAGAGGGUUAGUUUUAAAUGUUUAUGUAAUACUUCUAGCAUUAGAAUAAAAACUUGAAAAUGUUUGGAAGAAUAUUAUUCUAGCAGGGAUCAACUGUAUACUUUAACUUUUCUAAAGAUAACACAUAUUUUGAUAGACACAAAUAAAUCAGGCAGAGAAACAUAAAACAGACUUCAGCUUUAUUUAAAGAAAUAUACAACGUGGUGUUCAUACUCAGAAGUAUCAUUUAGAGGUAAUAUAUCACAAUAUAAUUCUUCACUUUGAAAUGCCAGAAUAAUGAAAUGUAAGUUCUAUAAUGGUAUCCUUCAGAACAGUAUUGUUCUUUUGUUUUUGUACCUUUGAAACUGUCCUUUGCGUAAUAGAAUUAACUCAACUUACAAUUUUCAGAAUAAUUAGUGCUUACUCAAUAUAA